CUCAACCUGGGAAUUGCAUUGGAGACUGCAAGGCUAGAAUCUGGCAGAGGGGGGUAGAAUUCCACGUGUAGCAGUGAAAUGCGUAGAUAUGUGGAGGAACACCGAUGGCGAAGGCAGCCCCCUGGGUCAAGAUUGACGCUCAUGCACGAAAGCGUGGGGAGCAAACAGGAUUAGAUACCCUGGUAGUCCACGCCCUAAACGAUGUCUACUAGUUGUCGGGUCUUAAUUGACUUGGUAACGCAGCUAACGCGUGAAGUAGACCGCCUGGGGAGUACGGUCGCAAGAUUAAAACUCAAAGGAAUUGACGGGGACCCGCACAAGCGGUGGAUGAUGUGGAUUAAUUCGAUGCAACGCGAAAAACCUUACCUACCCUUGACAUGGCUGGAAUCCCCGAGAGAUUGGGGAGUGCUCGAAAGAGAACCA
rnacentral:rRNA from 1 species